GGCAGCCGUGUCAAAUUCAGUGCCUGUCCUUCACAUGGUAGGCACUGGCCCAGAAGGCUGCCACAGAAACACUGUGACUCAUGGGCCCUAUUCUGUGUCUCAGGCUCAGGGAUAAAUUUGGUUAUAGACACCA
rnacentral:snoRNA from 1 species